GGCGGGCACCAACACGCUGACCCUUCUUGAGUUUUGUUUUCUCCAAUCAUGUGAGAAGCUGGGGGUCAGUGAAGGCUUCCUAAACUGUGACUUUGGACCACUUAGCACUAUGGGAGGUGAUUCUGGUGCCACACUAGUUUCAAAUGACACGGAACCACAGUCAGAUUCCUGACUCUUGUCCCGUCCUGGAAACACGGACAAGAAUGGCUCCAUUGGGUGCUACUUUCUCCUGAACACCUGCAACCUUUCCUUUUCAAACAACACUGAGCAGGCUUCAGCCUCAGCACAAACCCCCGUUUCUAGAAUGUAAUCACCCUGUUUUCUUUGAAUUGUAUUCAUUUGUGUCAUGACAUGUGAUCUUGAGCUUCCUUUCAACAACAAUCAAGCUCGUCAAAGACAAACAUUAAGUAAAAGACAGAUGGGAUGUUAAUGUGGUAAGAGUGAAGGGGAGACGUUGCGUAAGAUGACCCCUAAACUCUCUCCCGCUUCCAAAGUUCAUUGUUUCUGUGUUUCUUUGAGAACCUUGUUUUCAUGAAAUUCCUCUUGUCGACCUUUCUGGAUUCUUAAACUGCUUGGUGUGUUGGGGUGUUAGAGUCUUUCCCUUUCCCCUGGACUGGUGUGUGCCGAAUCGGGAGGAAAUAUGAUCAAUGGUUGUAGAAAGGUCGCCUGUCCGGGCCACUUUUCUGAAACGGGCUGUGGCAGGUUUCCUCAGCUCCUUUCUGUUCUGCCUUGAGAGGGAUUUUAACUCGGUGUUUAUCCCUGUCUGCGUCAGACCACAGGGAGGCGUUAGCAGAUUUGGUGCUGAGGCCAAAGAAGUUUUUAAAAGGGACAGAGGUGUCCCCAUCUCGUCUUCAUUUGAAGUCGUGUUUGCAUUCAAAGAUUCCGAGACAAAGAAGGGCGUUUUGAUAAGAAAAAGUGAUUGUGGUCUCAAGCCUUGAUGUGCUGUGGGAAGGAAAAGCGAUUUGCAAGACUAACCGACUGCGUUUAACUUAAUAGUUGAAGAGAAGAAAUAUAAAAGAAUGCAGUGGCUUUAACCAAGAAUGCUGUGACUCGAAGCAAUAUAAUCUAAGCAGGGUCUAUUUUAUGCAUAGCAACUCUGAGAUGCAGCAUGUUCUGGAAAUAGGUCAAACUGAGUAUUUUGUAUAAACACUGUCUCCCACUAGAGGGCGCUCUUUAGUUGUCUAUUUAACACUGUCUUCCUUUUUUGCAAAAAUAAUAAAAAAAUGACUAUAGGGCUAUGAAUUCUGAUACAAUUCUUGUUGAGCAUGUUAUGAAAUUUUCUCCCAGACAUUGUUUUAUUUUCAGCUUAUAUGUGUGAAAUUCCACUUUGAGAGGUAUAACAUGAUUCUGAGUCUUUCAAUAUGUAUAAAAAUCCCCACGGUAUUAUGGUACAAUAGAAGCAAAAGACAUAAGUUUAAAUUAUUGUAAUCCCAUAGGUCUUUUGACUAUUGUUUCUCUAUAUAUGUUACUGCACAAAGGAAAUUUAUUGUUAAUAUUAAUACCUUCUGCUUAGAUCUUUCGUGAAAAGACAAAGGGAGGCAGUGUGGCCUAGGUGGGGGAUUCUGCUGGCUUUUCCAGAGUGGUUUUUGUUAUCUGAAACAAUUUCCAGGACAUUCUUUUAAUUUGCUUUUUUAGGAUUUCAGUCCAUUUAGACUGUAUUGUCUUAGAUCCAUGAAAAUCACGGCCUACUUUUCUCUGAUUCCAUUCUUCCAGAUUCUUUGCCUUUCUUGUUAGAUUUGAGCUUCUCAUACCAUACUGUAUGAAAGGCUGGUGUUCUGGAAAUGAAUGAAUCGCCUAAUAAAACUCUGAUCUGGAAAAGGGUCACAGAAGUUUCUGCGAGGAUCCCCUGAGGCUCGUGAGAAUGUGGCCUCCAGGUGUGGAUUUCAUGAAAAAUGUCGGCCUCCAGUUCCUCGAGGAUGUGCCAACUCCACACCGAUUUAAUUUCUUAGAGGUAAGUGACAUUUGAGACCAUUCUUCUGAUAAGGCAAACUUCCCUUGAUUAAAGAAAAAGGGAGGGUUCAACUCUGUGAACAUUGGUUGAGUACCUAAUCUGUGUAAGCGACUGUACCAGUCAUGGCUUGAAAUAAAGUAAGUUAAAUAGAGUCUGUGCCCACAAGGACGGAUGGCAAUAGCAGGGCAGGAAAAGCAAGACACUAAUGAAAUCUAAUCCCACGUGAGACAAGUGAGGGACAGUGGAGCCAGCCAUUUUGUAUUGUGGGGGGAGGGGAAGAGAGAGAGAGAGAGAGAGAGAGAGAGCAUCCAGCUUGGAAGAGAAGCAAAGGCUGCUGAAGGAUGUGGCGUCCCUGAUGGGUCUUGCAAGAUGGGAGAUCUUCCACCAGUGACGAUGAAGGGAGCAAAAGGUAGGUGGGGUGGACGGAAGAGGGUGAACUAUUAUUUAAAAAUGAAAUGCAUACAGACUGGCUCAGUCAGUAGAGCACGUGACUCUUGACCUCAAGGUUGUGAGUUCAAGCCCCAAGUUUGGUGUAGACAUUGCUUAAACACAAAACCUUAAAAAAAAAAAAGAAAAAAAGAAAUGCAUACAUAUAGGAGAAAAACUUAAAAACACUUAAAAAAAAUCCCAUUAAUUUGACCUCCCAAAGGCAACCAGUGCUAUAAGUUUGACAUAUUUCUUUUGGGUAUUUUUUUUUCCAAUGCAUAUUUUGUAACGGAGGGUCCACUUGGUCCCUCUCGGGGAGUUUUUAGUAUGCUUGGCUCAACUGAUAAGAGCAGAUGUAAAAGCCCCUCCCUGCCACCCUUGAGAGCUAUCUGGGAGGGGCCCGACUGCCUGUUAAAAGGAGCUCUAGUUGCUAACACUAUAAAAUUACACACUCCUUCCUCAAAGCUCCGUUCUUGGGACACACGACCGGCUGGUCGCCGUUUCUGGGAGGCACCAUCCAGCGUAGCAAAGGCAAAGUCAAACAAGCUGAAGGUACCGAUCAAAACAUGUUCACAUCCUUCUAUACUUGUCAAGACAUCAAUCAACACCAUUAGGCGAUUUUUCUCCAUGGGGCUCUAUCACUGCAGCGCAGGAAAAGUAGCAAGGGAUGGUUGGAGGAGUUUCAGGUUAAGGAAGAUGUUUCUAUUCGUUCAUUAAGCAAACUUUUUUUUUUUUUUUUUUUUUUUUUUUUAAGCCCCAGAAAGAGAUCAUGUCUGUUUUAAGAUGUUUGUCUUCCAUCCUGGAGAAAGUUAUUCUUCUUAGAAGAAUGGGCCAAGUGUCUCCUUCUAAAUCUAGCAAGAAAGAAGCAGAAAGCAAGUUGAGGUUUUUCUUAUCAAAGACAGUUUGAAACUUCCGAUUCUGCGAUGUGUCUUAAGCGUAGUUUUUAAUGGGGUGUGGCCCGGACCAGCAGGGUUUUGACAGGCAGAAGAGAGAGAGCGUUCCAGAAAGAGGCAUCAGGGUAUGUGAAAAUGGGAUAACAGGUGUACUGGGGAAUGAGGAGGACUCAGUUGCCUGAUUCGGAUGGAACAGGUGAACGUUUCUGAAGAUCCGAAGGUACCUUUGGAACCCACAUGGAAUCCACUCUGGUGAGUAAAGUGGGACCUCCAUCCAGCUGCAGGGGCUUAAGGACAGUGUCCAGAGAGCACACAGCAACGCAGGUGGUAUAAGCUUCAGGGUCAGGAGGGGGACCCGGUUGGUCCCCCAGGACCAUUCUGCAGCGCUCCCAUGGGCAUUCUUUCUGGCCGAGCUGCCUCUGAGUCUGGUUCUCUGUCGCUUGUGAAGAUUCUCUGACCACAAAAUCUCCUUUAUCAAAUUCUUUUUUCUACCCAGAAUAGCCCGAGAUAGUUUCUGUCGCAAGGCCGAGUCCUGAUUGUAGGACGAGUACGUUUGAGGAAAGGUGGGAGGAGAGGCGGGGUGGGGUGUUUGUGAUGUCAUCUGACAUGGGACACGUGUCAAUCAGAGCACUGGCUGUGGUAAUAUAGUCUCAUUUCUCAGACAAUUCGUAAAAGAAUAUAUUAAGCAUCUGAAAAAUGAUGUAGCUUGAGUAAUAACAAAAUUGCAAAUAAAAUCAGCGUGAUGGAAGAGAGUAAAAAGGAAAUGCUCCGUGCUGAUAAAGAUGUGAGGACGUGGACAUUUGUCAUUCCGUGACAUAGACUUUCUAGAAUAAAAUCUGGCAUUAAG